UUUAAAGAGAAGAAUUAACAAAUUCUUUAUCUUCUAUUUUCUCAAGGUCUCAAGUUGAUAUUCUAAAAUCUAUGAUUUUAAAAUCAAGCAACAAUGAAAUAGAAGAUUUAUCCUUCACUUCACUUGAUGAAGAAUCAACUUGACCUUGGCACAACCACUUUAAACUUUGAACCAAGAGCUAAUCUGGGAAAGAUGCAAGAAUAAUGGAAAGUCCUUCCUCAAGACGGAACAGUGGCAGCAAAUCAAGGGCCUUAGAACAACAUUGACAGAGAGGAUAACAUACCACCAAAGAUCCAUACCAGGAAGAAAGAAUGGGACCUCUGGGGCCAGCCCU
rnacentral:lncRNA from 1 species